UUAGGAAUUUUGCACAAUGGACGAAAGUCUGAUGCAGCGACAUCGCGUGAGGGAUUAAGGCCUUCGGGUUGUAAACCUCUUUUAUUUUUUCAUGAAGAAAGAAUGAAUAAGCAACUACUAACUACGUGCCAGCAGUCGCGGUAAUACGUAGGUUGCAAGCGUUACCCGGUUUUAUUGGGCGUAAAGGGUCUGUAGGUGGUUUAUUAAGUCUUGUUUCAAAGACUCUGGCUCAACCAGAGAAAGGGGCAGGAUACUGAUAGGCUAGAGUUAUAUCGGAGUUACUGGAAUUUGUAAUGUAGGGGUAAAAUCCGUGGAUAUUACAAAGAACACCAAGCGCGAAGGCAGGUAACUAGGUAUACACUGACACUGAAAGACGAAAGCUAGGGUAGCCAAUCAG
rnacentral:rRNA from 1 species